UUUCAGCAGAAGCACAGGGAAUUUGAAAUGGAUGGAAUAUGUACUUUUAAGGCAAAAUACCGAGGUUAAAUUUCUUUCCUGGGUAACGCAGUCAACAUGUUAGUUAUUAGUUUAAGGUGGAAUACUCUAUAUAGAUGCAGCAUUAAAAUUACAUUUACACUGGUAUUAUAAAAAAAAAUCAGCUACCUAUCCCCUAAAGGUCCCUUUUAAUUACAUGAAGGCUCUCUUUGUUGUACAGAAAUUGUGUUGAUAUGCAUUUAAUUGUUAGCCAAAUACACAGGAAUGACUCGAAUGUUGAAUACCAGUGAAACAAACGACCUGGAAAGCCCUUAAAAAUGAAAAACCCUUAAAAA